rnacentral:rRNA from 1 species
UACGAGGGGGGCGAGCGUUGUUCGGAAUUAUUGGGCGUAAAGGGUGCGUAGGCGGUUUGGUAAGUCUUGUGUGAAAUCUACAGGCUCAACUUGUAGUCUGCACGAGAAACUGCCGGGCUUGAGUGUGGGAGAGGUGAGUGGAAUUCCUGGUGUAGCGGUGAAAUGCGUAGAGAUCCGGAGGAACACCAAAGGCGAAGGCAGUGUCCUGGGGAGUACCUGACGCUCAGGUGCGAAAGCCAGGGGAGCGAACGGG